AUGUUUUCUUCUGGCCUUAGAAUCUGUGAAUCUAUAGCAGGGUUGAGAGAACCUCAAAUGGCUAUUAAAAAUCGAAUCCAAUGCUGAUAGAAAAUCUCCCAUUGAGUUCAGCGGACAUGGAUUAUGGCCCUAAGUUCAAAUGCUCAGACACUGUGAUGAUAGGUGGGAGGUAGAAUACCCAAAACUGCCUUUUGCGUCACCUAAUGGCCAUGAGCAGGAGCGGGUUUUCAAGGUGGAGCAGUGCUAAACCUAGAUACCUAUUCUAAUGAAAUCUUGUUUGAUAAAAUAUGUGUUGAUGGAUUUUUCCUGAAGUUGUUUACAUGUUUUCUUGGUUUAAUGGUGUUUUACUGAGAUGAAAAUAGUGUGAUUAGUUUGACAUUUACAGUGUGACAACAGCCAUUGCUGUCUCUUCUACCACUUCACUGCUAAAAAACAGACAAAAAUCAUCCAGGGCUUGCUUUGUUAUGCCUUGUGUUUCGACCAUUUUCUAUUCACUGGUUUCAUGUAGUAGUGAGUUUGUAGAGAAAUUCAGUGAAAGUACAAAAGUUUUUAACCAUCAAAGAUGUUUUAUUCUUGUUCUAAUGAAGUCUUGUUAUUGUUGGUUUUAAAUAUGGAUAGACUAACAUUGCUCUUCUAGAGGGAAAUAAUACUGCUUUCAAUAUCUGGUGAGUCAGAAGAUGGAAGAUCUAGUUCCUUCUAACUUGUAAAGAGAUAGAGUGGCUUGAAUGACACCUCCUUGCCAGAACCAACAAGUAGUCCCAAACCACUACCCAAUUUAUUUAAAAAAAAAAGAUGCAAUAUACCAUUGUCUUGAUGUCUGAAAAUAUUUCACAUUCUAUAACUCUCUGGAAAUGACAUCUAGAGGGGGAAACUACUGAUCUCUGUGUUCACUAAAAAGUAAACAUGCAUAUCUAAUAGUUCUAUUCAACACACAUCAUACUUAUGCAUUUUUAAUUGCAAAUAUUGCUUUGAAUUCAUAAAUAACUUAUGAGAAAUGUUUCAGUUUAAGACUAUCUGUUGAUUCCUACUAAAAUUUGCACAUCAUAUACUAUACCUUAUAAGUGUCCUUCAUUUUAAACUCAUAUUUUACCUUUCAUGCACAAACCUGCUGCUCUCCUAUAUAUGUAAUUGUACGUUAUUUAAGUAAGAGAUACUGGAGUGGGAAACUAAAAGUCAGAAGAAUGUUACUGAUGUUGAAAAAAAUGACUCUUACAUUGUUUUAUGUUUCUUACACUGAUAGCUUUCUGAUAGCUUUCUAGUGCUCCUCUUUUUAGGCCAUUUUACCUACAUAUGGUUUGAUUCUGCUUUUAUUGAAGGAACUGAAUAAAUUACCAAUGACAUCA